rnacentral:rRNA from 1 species
AGUCAUAUGCUUGUCUCAAAGAUUAAGCCAUGCAUGUCUAAGUAUAACCGUUAUACUGGGAAACUGCGAAUGGCUCAUUAAAUCAGUUAUAGUUUAUUUGAUGGUACCUUACUACUCGGAUAACCGUAGUAAUUCUAGAGCUAAUACGUGCGUAAAUCUCGACUUCGGAAGAGACGUAUUUAUUAGAUUAAAGACCAACCCUUCGGGACCGUUGGUGAUUCAUAAUAACUGGACGAAUCGCAUGGGCUUGCCCCGGCGAUGUUUCAUUUCAAAUUUCUGCCCUAUCACGUUUCGAUGGUAGUAUAGAGGACUACCAUGCGAGUAACGGGUGACGGAGAAU